GGUAUUCUGGAGUCUUUCUUGAGUCCUGAAGGAAGGAGGAGGCUCUAAAGAGAAUUUCUCUGUUCUUUUUUACACAGCUAUCCUAUUAGUUGCUGAGUCCCACACAUAAAAUGCCGUGAAUUAGCUGCAACUGGUCUGGCCUGUGUCUAAGGUAAUUCCCAGUACCAGAGAGAGAAUAUCUGCUUCAUAAAUCUAGACUGUUUGGGGAUCAAAACUGAAGAGAGGAAUUUCUGCUAUUUUAAGGCUGUUAGUGAAUGCCAUCAGCAAAUCCUUUGGUUGCACAAACUGUGGAUGGAGUUUUAAGUUGCACAAAGUGCUGCAGUGCAGGUUGUUCUGGCCUGCCUCCGCCCGUCAUCGCUAUUGAGAACCAGUCCCCACCUUAAACUCAAGAAUGUUGCAGACCUAACACGUCUGCUGAUCACAACUGCAGCAGUGUGGAACAGAGAAAGAAGUGGCCUCUCCCAGCCUAGAUCCCAGCCGAUGGCGGACUUUG
rnacentral:lncRNA from 1 species